UUUUUUGUUUUUCAGUUACCUAUAUGUAUUAUAUAUUAAAUGGUAAUUUAUAAGCUAAGCUAAUUAUUUUGUUUAACAAUAAAUGUAUAGCUGCUUGGCUCUUACGUACCGCAAAUUUACUUUCUCAUUUCUCAAUUUGGAUUUCUUAAUUUUUCUCUAUAUGUAUUUUAUUUUAUUUCAGUAUGUUUGUUUUUAUUUUUUAUUAUUUCACUUAUGUUUAAAUAACGAAAAAAUUAAACUUUUAUUUGCAGCUUCUUUGCCAUAAGGAACAGAAAUGAUAAUCAGAAAAAUAAUAAUAAACGUAAGAAUUCAAUUCUAAAUAUGAUGAGGAAAAUUUCCAAAAUUUAAAUAAAAAAGUUUCACAAAAAUUAUAUCAUCAGAUUAGUUGUAAUAGUUAUAUAUAUAAAUGAAUAUAUAAAUUUAUUCAAUAACAAAAUUAUAUUGAUUUUGAAACAGAUUUUGAUGUGUUUUUUUCUUUCGAGAGUUACUGAGAUUAACUCGCAGAGCUUUACGAAUUACAAAUUUUGCAGUACAAAAUAAGUAUAUAUAUAUAUAAAUAUAUAUCUAUACAGUACAAGCCACACCCACAGCAACAGAAAGAAAAACCAAACAGAAAAUGUUUAUAAAGAUUCAAGUGACAGCAGUCGUCAGUUCGGGGUUUGUAGCGUAUCCAUGUAGUCGGUGUCAUGUCCAGUUGUAGUUUUYUUCUUCUUCUUUUUUCAUUGCUUUACUUUUGGUUGAGAUUUCUAAUGUAAUUAAAACGCAUUCAAUUAAACACACCAAAGCAAGAGGACAAAGAAUUUUGAGGUAUAUAAAUAUAUACAUAUAUAUAUAGAUAAAGCGACUGUGU